rnacentral:rRNA from 1 species
CGGUAACAGAUUGAUAGCUUGCUAUCAAUGCUGACGAGCGGCGGACGGGUGAGUAAUGCCUGGGAAUAUGCCCUGAUGUGGGGGAUAACUAUUGGAAACGAUAGCUAAUACCGCAUAAUCUCUUCGGAGCAAAGAGGGGGACCUUCGGGCCUCUCGCGUCAGGAUUAGCCCAGGUGGGAUUAGCUUGUUGGUGGGGUAAUGGCUCACCAAGGCAACGAUCCCUAGCUGGUCUGAGAGGAUGAUCAGCCACACUGGAACUGAGACACGGUCCAGACUCCUACGGGAGGCAGCAGUGGGGAAUAUUGCACAAUGGGGGAAACCCUGAUGCAGCCAUGCCGCGUGUAUGAAGAAGGCCUUCGGGUUGUAAAGUACUUUCAGUUGUGAGGAAGGCAGUAAAGUUAAUAGCUUUACUGUUUGACGUUAGCAACAGAAGAAGCACCGGCUAACUCCGUGCCAGCAGCCGCGGUAAUACGGAGGGUGCGAGCGUUAAUCGGAAUUACUGGGCGUAAAGCGCAUGCAGGUGGUCUGUUAAGCAAGAUGUGAAAGCCCGGGGCUCAACCUCGGAACAGCAUUUUGAACUGGCAGACUAGAGUACUGUAGAGGGGGGUAGAAUUUCAGGUGUAGCGGUGAAAUGCGUAGAGAUCUGAAGG